rnacentral:rRNA from 1 species
GAUGAACGCUGGCGGCGUGCCUAAUACAUGCAAGUCGAGCGAAUGGAUUAAGAGCUUGCUCUUAUGAAGUUAGCGGCGGACGGGUGAGUAACACGUGGGUAACCUGCCCAUAAGACUGGGAUAACUCCGGGAAACCGGGGCUAAUACCGGAUAACAUUUUGAACCGCAUGGUUCGGAAUUGAAAGGCGGCUUCGGCUGUCACUUAUGGAUGGACCCGCGUCGCAUUAGCUAGUUGGUGAGGUAACGGCUCACCAAGGCAACGAUGCGUAGCCGACCUGAGAGGGUGAUCGGCCACGCUGGGACUGGAACACGGCCCAGACUCCUACGGGAGGCAGCAGUAGGGAAUCUUCCGCAAUGGACGAAAGUCUGACGGGGCAACGCCGCGUGAGUGAUGAAGGCUUUCGGGUCGUAAAACUCUGUUGUUAGGGAAGAACAAGUGCUAGUUGAAUAAGCUGGCACCUUGACGGUACCUAACCAGAAAGCCACGGCUAACUACGUGCCAGCCGCCGCAGUAAGAC